AGAAUCAACGCUGGCGGCGCGCUUAACACAUGCAAGUCGCACGAGAAAGUCCGCAAGGAUGAGUACAGUGGCGUACGGGUGAGUAACACGUGGAUCAUCUACCCUCUAGUGGGGAAUAACCCUGGGAAACCGGGGCUAAUACCGCAUAAUCUCGAGAGAGGAAAGCAGCAAUGCGCUGGAAGAGGAGUCCGCGGCCGAUUAGCUAGUUGGCGGGGUAAAAGCCCACCAAGGCGAUGAUCGGUAGCCGGCCUGAGAGGGCACACGGCCACACUGGCACUGAAACACGGGCCAGACUCCUACGGGAGGCAGCAGUGGGGAAUCUUGCACAAUGGGGGCAACCCUGAUGCAGCGACGCCGCGUGAGCGAUGAAGCCCUUCGGGGUGUAAAGCUCUUUCGGCAGGAACGAUAAUGACGGUACCUGAAGAAGAAGCUGCGGCUAACUACGCGCCAGCAGCCGCGGUAA
rnacentral:rRNA from 1 species